rnacentral:rRNA from 1 species
GACGUAGGGGGCGGAGCGUUGUCCGGAAUUACUGGGCGGUAAAGGGACGCGUAGGCGGCCGUUCAAGUCAGGUGUAAAAUAACCCCGGGCCGUCAACCCGGGGACGUAGCACUUGAAACUAGGGCGGGCUAGAGGGCGAGGAGAGGGGAGGUGGAAUUCCCGGUGUAGCGGUGAAAUGCGUAGAUAUCGGGAGGAAUACCAGUGGCGAAGGCGACUCUCUGGACUGACCCUGACGCUGAGGCGCGAAAGCGUGGGGAGCAAACAGGAUUAGAUACCCGGGUAGU